GGGUGCGAUCAUACCAGCACUAAUGCACCGGAUCCCAUCAGAACUCGGAAGUUAAACGUGCUUGGGCGAGAGUAGUACUAAGAUGGGUGACCUCUUGGGAAGUUCUCGUGUUGCACCCC
rnacentral:rRNA from 1 species